UACGUAGGGUGCGAGCGUUGUCCGGAAUUAUUGGGCGUAAAGAGCUCGUAGGCGGCUUGUCGCGUCGGAUGUGAAAGUCCGAGGCUCAACCCCGGGCCUGCAGUCGAUACGGGCAGACUAGAGUGCGGUAGGGGAGACUGGAAUUCCUGGUGUAGCGGUGAAAUGCGCAGAUAUCAGGAGGAACACCGGUGGCGAAGGCGGCUCUCUGGGACGGUACUGACGCUGAGACGCGAAAAGCGUGGGGGAGCGAACAGG
rnacentral:rRNA from 1 species